AUUGAACGCUGGCGGCAGGCCUAACACAUGCAAGUCGAACGAGUGGCGGAAGGGUGAGUAAUGGAUGGGAAAGUGACUGAUGGAGGGGGAUAACUACUGGAAACGGUAGCUAAUACCGCAUACCAUCAGAUGUGCCAAGAUGGGAUUAGCUAGUUGGUGGGGUAACGUCUCACCAAGGCGACGAUCCCUAGCUGGUGUGAGAGGAUGACCAGCCACACUGGAACUGAGACACGGUCCAGACUCCUACGGUAGGCAGCAUUGGGGAAUAUUGGACAAUGGGCGCAAGCCUGAUGCAGCCAUGCCGCGUGUAUGAAGAAGGCCUUCGGGUUGUAAAGUACUUUCAGCGGGGAGGCGUGACCCGCAGAAGAAGCACCGGCUAACUCCGUGCCAGCAGCCGCGGUAAUUC
rnacentral:rRNA from 1 species